AUCAAAAGCUGUGCAGAAGAACAAAGUUCAUCAAUCUUAAAUAAGGUUGAUUAAUCAGACUAUUUUGAGAUGCAGCUGAGGAGAGUUUUAGGGAUGCUGCUGCAGUCAUCAGAACCAUGAAGAAAUCAAAUGAGAUAUCCCCAACAUCAGCAAUAAAAAGGAGGUUUGAGUGUUUGAAAGCAGCUGGCUAGACAGAUUCCUGCAAGUGGAAUCUAUGGUUUAUAUAUUACGAUUUUUUUAUAUUCUCAUUCCUAACUGAUGGCCCAGUGCUGUGGUAUUUGUGUGUCUUCCAAAGAUACAAUGAAAGACCAUAUCACAUAUGUUUUCUUCUCCAUUUUCUUCUACAGGAAGCAAGAUGGAUGAUGCUGAAACAGGCGUGCUUUGCCCUGGGAUGCAUGAAGGCAGUUGGCUACCCAGUCUGCUGGGAACACUGACUAAACACAGGUCCUCCCAGGCUGGAAGUAUGAGUUCAAGCAAAUUAAAAACUGUCACCAGAGCUCGUUACAGCUCACGCCUGCAAAUGCAAAAAAGUUGCAUGGAGAUAACAGCGCACAGGAAGACUUGCUAGGCCAUGGACUAAGAUGCCAAGUUUCAGAGAAGAUGGUUUGCACAAGGAAAGCUCAGAACUCAAAAGCAGAGAUUGGGUGCUCUUCUAAGGACAACAGGUGGAGGGAUGAGAUUUUGGGAAAAAACCUGAACCCCCAAAACCCACUGUAGGAAAGGUUCCACCUCUGUGAAAACAAGAAGGAAGGAGGGUAAUAAAAGAAGUAUGAAGUGUAUCUAGUUUCA
rnacentral:lncRNA from 14 species